rnacentral:lncRNA from 1 species
CUUUAGUUAAUAAAACGUUGUUAUAGUAUUUAGAGGACUUAUUUUACUAUAAUCCUGAGAGUAAUACUUUCCCUGCUCACAGUGCUGAAAAGGUUGGAUUAACAUUGUUUUUCCUCCAGAAAAAGAUGAAAUAAACAGUUAGUUAGUUUGCCUGAGACAAAGGCAGACUAAAGUACACAAGUCAGAAAAAGAGACUGGAAUGUUUCCUCCAACAGAGAAUAGUUUGUUUUCGUUAGGACUCACAUUUGAAGAUUUUGAUUUUGGAUUCCAGGGAGGGAAGAAUAUCGGAAAAGUGUCUUCUCAACUGGAGAACUUUCCAUAUAGUUUUCUUCAUGCUCAAGAUACAAGUACAUUGGACAGUCGUAAGAAAAAAAGGGAACAAUAUCUUAAGAACAAGAAAACUACUGUGCUACGAAACAAGAAGAAAUGCCCAAUCGUCUUGAUCAAGAGAAGGAAAAGGAUGAUACCUACUUGGAUUUUAUUAUAAAUUACAGAUAUUGUCAUGAAAUUGUUACACCCAAGUGAAAAGAUAUUUAUCCUCCCAGAAAAAUAGGGCUACUCUCUAAUUGUAAUAACUCGUUCUCUCUGUUAAAGGAAGUUGUUUGUUGUAAAAUAUAGUUUGUGUGUUACUAGUGCCAGAAAGUCUGAUUACCUUUCCUUAUCUGUUGUGCCACAUACUGCGAUUAGGCCAAAGCCUGUAUUAAGUUGUCCACUGGUCCCACAUAAUACAUAUUUUUAUUUUCUUGCUUUUUAUAUUAUAUUUAAUAUAUAUCAUUUUCAAUCAAACUGAAUUUUCUAAUUUUGAAUUUUCAACAAAAAAAUACUAAAAAUUAAAUAAUGGUAGGGGUUUUGUGAUUGAUUUUUUCACCACUCUUGACUAACUUAUUUUUUAUUAAAAAAAUUAUUGAAAGAAAUUG